rnacentral:lncRNA from 1 species
GCAGUUCCACCUCCGUGGUUGAUUGUGCCCUUAGCUACGCAUGCUCUAGGUGAUUAAGAUAUUCUAGAGUUAAAGCUUGGUCGGAGAUGACAUUAGCUAAACUUUCAAGCUGUUAGUGAGGGUAAUGCCUUGUCACGGUAAAGCUGUGAUAAGCACCGAUAUUUCGAUAUGAGAUGUUUCAAUAGGUAUUAGAAGGGUGAACAAGAAGUUUGGUAAUGGACAUUAGUGAGGCUCGUGCAAUGGGGUCUUCGAAAGUCAUCUUUAACAUCGAAAAGAGGGGUAUUAGCUUCAAUAGUGGGAUUCAUGGCACCAAUUGUUUCAAUCAUUUGAGACAGAGAUGAGAUAAAGAGAUUGUGCGCUAAGGGGUGCCAAAGCUUGUGCUUCAAGGUGUUGUCCGAUGCUUAAGUCAGAUAGAGGACACUUGUAGGCUUAGGAGAAUAUUUAGGCAGAGUAUAAAUAACACAUGAGCUCAUACUUGAGGAUAGAGCCUCUCCUUCACCUUGUAUCCUAUCCAAGAUUGUUAGUUCCUUCUAAGGUUUAUGCUCUUGGGGAUUCGUAGGGACCAAUUCGUGGUCAAUGGAGGCGCAUGUCCGUGGUUUGUCAUUACUGUGCCUUCAACCACUUUGUUGGCUUUGCCAUCUCACUUGAGUCUGCUUACAAAAUUGCACCUGAGUACAAAUCCUUAAAUGAAUAAUGAUAAUUGUUUUCUCAGAUAUGUUCUACCUAGAACAAGCAUAUCAUGUAUAAGAGUUUAUACUUGC